GGGAGAGAGAGAGAGAGAGAGAGAGAGAGAGAGAGAGAGAGAGAGGCAGAGAGGCAGAGAGGCAGAGAGGCAGAGAGAGCAUGUUAGCUAAGCCAACAUGACGUAUCCCAGAACAUCUCAGACAAAGACCUGACUGUAGCCUCUAACCUAGGCGUAGUCAUAGACCCCGGGAGCUUUAUUUACUUUCAAUUUCAUGAAAUUUUUAGAGAUAUCAUCACUCUGGACUUCCAGAAACUAUUGUGAGAUACAAAAUAAUGUAACAGAAAGAUUAGGAGGUCAUUAGGCCACUGGCUGCUAUUUUGGUACUAUUGUAGCAAUGACAAGUACAGUGCAGAGACAGUGGGUUGAGGAGACAUUGAAGCAUCUAGUGUCUAAGUGUGCUCUCUGACAAGAUUUUCAAGUCUCCUGGGUGACAAAAUUCUUCAUCUGCAGGAAAGGACAGAAAACAAUAAAAGGAGCUGUUGGGGAACCUACCAAGUGAGGAAGUGCUGUUGGCAAAGCAUGCUCUCUAGGGAAGACAGGCAGCUGUGCUUUUCAAAGCUCUGCUUCACUUCCCAAAAUACCUCCUAACCCACUUCCUCUAGUGAAGAAGGGAGGUCUGUGGUAUCUCCCUGACUUGCAUUAGAACUGUGUGGGCAGGUCUGGGGAAAGACUAGGAGUAAAGUGGCAACCUGUCCGUGAGAAGUCUUCAUUUUCACGGGUUAGGCCUUAGUCAUGUGACCCACACAUGGAGAGGCAGGGCACUCAUGGAAUUUCCAGACCUGACCAGGGGUAGUAGUUCUGUGUGUGCCUUUUAAAAUGGAAACUAAUUGUGUGGAGUUGCUUUUUCAUAGAAACGAAGUCAUUGGUUUUCAACCUUCUUAAUGCUGUGACCCUUUAAUACAGAUCCUCAGAUUGUAGUGAUGCCUCCCCAUUAUAAAACUAUUUUUGCUGCUUCACAACCAUCAUUUUGCUACUGCUGUGAAUUGUGAUGUAAAUAUCUGAUAUGCAGGGUAUUGGGUGGUUGAACCCAAAGAGGUCACAACCCACCUAUUGAGAGCCACUGAUCUAAAUCUUAGUAUCAAACUUCAAUGAAUCUGUGUCACUGUCCUUUAGGGCUUUAGAAAAAGUAAUCAUAUGCAUGUUGACCUUGUUGUAUAUGUGGUAUGAAACAACUUGGAAAAAAUGGUGUAGCUGGGACAAAACAGAAGAAAAAUAUCCACGCAUAGACUAAUAUGAAAGACAAGGGCUUAAAUCACAGGUCUACCACAUACUGACAGUCACCUUGGGGAAUUACUCAAGGGUAAGAUUUUGAUUUUCUUAUCUGUACAAUAAGUCUGUGCCUGUGCAUAGUGUCUGUGUAGUGCAGUUGGUGCCUCAGUUUCCCCCUCAGUCUUUUUUCUGGAAUGUAGAUAUUCUAAUGAGUGUUGAAGACAUGCCAGGGUCAAUACCAGUGAAUGGCACAGAUAACUCACCCAAAAGUAUUUAUACUGUGAGAAUUUAUAAUGUGAGAUUAAAAGCCACACCAAGAGGACAAAGGGAUAUGUGAUGGUUUGAUACUGGCCCAAUAGUGUGGUGAGGGUGUGGUGAGCAAGAUGUGAGUCUCACGUUAGAGGAACCGGAAGCCAGUCUGGUUGCUAAGCUCUUUGUUUGAGUGCAGGUCUCAGAUUGAGUGACAACCCUGAGCAUGUGGGCGUAUCUGAGAAGGAAUCUGGAUGGGCGGAGACAUGACUGGGGCAAAUCUACAGCAUCCCUGGAAUAAGUGUCCAUACUCAAGAGAGCAGAAGUCACAGUGGAGGUUUGUUUUCCUAAAUAAAAGGCAGAGAAAGAUGGCUUCUAAAGAACUGAUGGUCACAUUUGUGUUUAGUAGUAGAUGACAAAAUCUUCUUUUUCUUAGAUGUGAGAUUGUAUAGUGCUCUCUUGAGAAGUACAGUAUUUUUUUCUCCCUCUUUAUUAAAUUGGGUAUUUCUUAUUUACAAUACAAUUGUUAUUCCCUUUCCCGGUUUCCAGGCCAACAUCCCUCUAAACCUCCCCCUCCCCUUCUAUAUGGGUGUUCCCUUCCCCAUUCUCCCACCAUUACUGCUCUCCCCACAACAAUCACAUGAACUGGGAGUUAAGUCUUGGCAGGACCAAGGGCUUCCCCUUCCACUGAUGCCCUUACUAGGCUAUUGAUUGCUACCUAUCAGGUUGGAGCCCAGGGUCCGCCAAUGUUUAGUCUUUGGAUAGUGGCUUAAUCCCUGGAAGCCCUGGUUGGUUGGAAUUGUUGUUCAUAUGAUGUCUCAAGCCCCUUCAAGCUCAUUUAGUCCUUUCUCUGACUCCUUCAACAAGGGUUCCGUUCUAAAUUCAGUGGUUUGCUGCUGACAUUCGCCUAUGUAUUCGCCUUAUUCUGGCUGUGUCUCUCAGGAGAGAUCUACAUCCGGCUCCUGUCAGCCUGCACUUCUUUGCUUCAUCCACCUUAUCUAGUUUGGUGGCUAUAUAUAUGUAUGGGCCACAUGUGGGGCAGGAUCUGAAUGGGUGUUCCUUCGGCCUCUGUUCUAAACUUUGCCCCUCUAUCCCCUCCCGAGGGUAUUCUUGUUCCCCUUUUAAAGAAGGAGUGAAGCAUCUGCAUUUUGGUCAUCCUUCUUGAGUUUCAUUUGUUCUAUACAUCUAGGGUAAUUUGAGCAUUUGGGCUAAUAUCCACUUAUCAAUGAGUGCAUACCAUGUCUGUUUUUUCUGUGAUUGGGUUACCUCACUCAGGAUGAUAUGGUCCAGUUCCAUCCAUUUCCCUAUGAAUUUCAUAAAAUCAUUGUUUUUGAUAGCUGAGUAAUAUUCCAUUGUGUAGAUGUACCACAUUUUCUGUAUCCAUUCCUUUGUUGAAGGGCAUCUGGGUUCUUUCCAGCUUCUGACUAUUAUAAAUAAGGCUGCUAUGAACAUAGUGGAGCACAUGUCUUUGUUAUAUGUUGGGGCAUCUUUUGGGUAUAUGCCCAAAAGAGGUAUAGCUGGGUCCUCAGGUAGUUCAAUGUCCAAUUUUCUGAGAAACCUCCAGACUGAUUUCCAGAAUGGUUGUACCAGUCUGUAAUCCCACCAACAAUGGAGGAGUGUUCCCCUUUCCCCACAUCCUUGCCAGCAUCUGCUGUCACCAGAGUUUUUGAUCUUAGCCAUUAUGACUGUUGUGAGGUGGAAUCUCAGGGUUGUUUUGAUUUGCAUUUCCCUUAUGACUAAAGAUGUUGAACAUUUCUUUAGGUGUUUCUCAGCCAUUCGUCAUUCCUCAGCUGUGAAUUCUUUGUGUACCUUUGAACCCCAUUUUUAAAUAGGGUUAUUUCUCUCCCUGCAAUCUAGCUUCAUGCAUUCUUUGUAUAUUUUGGAUAUGAGUCCUCAAUCAGUUGUAGGGUUGGUAAAGAUCUUUUCCCAAUCUGUUGCUUGCUGUUUUGUCCUAACAACAAUGACCUUUGCCUACUUUGUAGUUUUAUGAGAUCCCAUUUGUCAAUUCUUGAUCUUAGAGCAUAAGCUAUUGGUGUUUUGUUCAGGAAAUUUUCUCCAGUGCCCAUGUGUUUGAGAUUCUUCCCCACUUUUUCUUCUGUUAGUUUGAGUAUAUCUGGUUUGAUGUGAUAAGAAUGGAUCAAUCUCUAUUCUUAUACAUGUUGACCUCCAGUUGAACCAGCACCAUUUGCUGAAAAUGCUAUCUUUUUUCCAUUGGAUAGUUUUGGAUCCUUUAUCAAAAAUCAAGUGCCCAUAGGUGUGUGGGUUCAUUUCUGGGUCUUCAAUUCUAUUCCACUGGUCUACUGCCUGUCACUGUACCAAUACCAUGCAGUUUUUAUCAGUAUUGCUCUGUAAUACUACUUGAGUUCAGGGAUAGUGAUUCCCCUGGAAGUCCUUUUAUUGUUGAGGAUAGUUUUUAGCUAUCCUGGGAUUUUUGUUAUUCCAGAUGAAUUUGCAAAUUAUUCUGUCUAACUCUCUGAAGAAUUGGGUUAGAAUUUUGAUGGGGAUUGCAUUGAAUCUGUAGAUCGCUUUUGGUAAAAUGGCCAUUUUUACUGUAUUAAUCCUGCCAAUCCAUGAGCAUGGGAGAUCUUUCCAUCUUCUGAGAUCUUCAAUUUCUUUCUUCAGAGGCUUGAUGUUCAUAUCAUACAGAUCUUUCACUUGCUUGUUAAAGUCACACCGAGGUAUCUUAUAUUAUUUGGGACUAUAAUGAAGAGUGUCAUUGCCCUAAUUUCUUUCUCGGCUUAUUUCUCUUGUGUAGAGGAAAGUUACUGAUUUGAGUUAAUUUUCUACCCAGCCAUUUUGCUGAAGUUGUUUAUCAGGUUUAGUAGUUCUCUGCUGGAACUUUUGGGAUCAUUUAAAUAUGCUAUCAUAUCAUCUGCAAAUAGUGAUAUUUUGACUUCUUCCUUUCCAAUCUGUAUCCUUUGAUCUCCUGUUGUUGUCUGAUUGCUCUGGAUAGGACUUACGAGAACUGUAUUGAAUAAGUAGGGAGAGAAUGGGCAGCCUUGUCUAGUCCCUGAUUUUAGUGGGAUUGAAGUUUCUCUCCAUUUAGUUUAAUGUUAGCUACUGGUUGGCUGUAUAUGGCUUUUACUAUGUUUAGGUAUGGGCCUUCAAUUCCUGUUCUUUCCAGGACUUUUAUCAUGAAGGGGUGUUGAAUAUUGUCAAAUGGUUUCUCAGCAUCUAAUGAAAUGAUUAUGUGGUUUUUAUCUUUGAGUUUGUUUAUAUAGUGGAUUACGUUGAUGGUUUUCCAUAUAUUAAACCAUUCCUGCAUCCCUGGGAUGAAGCCUACUUGCUCAAGAUGGAUAAUUGUUUCGAUGUGCUCUUUGAUUCGGUUUGCAAGAAUUUUAUUGAGUAUUUUUGCGUUGAUAUUCUUAAGGGAAGUUGGUCUGAAGUUCUCUUUCUUUGUUGGAUCUUUGUGUAGUUUAGGUAUAAGAGUAAUUGUGGCUUCAUAGAAGGAAUUCGGUGGUGCUCUAUCUGUUUCAAUUUUGCGGAAUAGUUUGGAUAAUAUUGAUAUGAGGUCUUCUAUGAAGGUCUGAUAGAAUUCUGCACUGAACCCAUCUGGACCUGGGCUCUUUUUGGUUGGGAGACUUUUAAUGACUGCUUGUAUUUCUUUAGGAGUUAUGGGCUUGUUUAAAUGGGUUAUCUGUUCCUGAUAUAACUUUGGUACCUGGUAUCUGUCUAGGAAAUUGUCCAUUUCCUCCAGAUUUUCAAAUUUUGUUGAAUAUAGGCUUUGUAGAAUCUGAUGAUUUUUUUAAAUUUUUUUCUGAAUCUGUUAUGUCUCCCUUUUCAUUUCUGAUUUUGUUGAUUUGGACAUACUAUCUGUGUCCUCUGGUUAGUCUGGCUAAGUGUUUAUCUAUCUUGUUGAUUUUCUCAAAUAACCAGCUUUUGGUUCUGUUGAUUCUUUGUAUAGUCCCUUUUGUUUCUAUUUGGUUGAUUUCAGCUCUGAGUUUGAUUAUUUCCUUCCUUCUACUCCUCCUGGGUGUAUUUGCUUCUUUUUGUUCUAGAGCUUUUAGGUGUGCCGUCAAGCUGCUGAUAGAUGCUCUCUCCUGUUCUAAUCUGCAGGGACUAAGAGCUAUGUGUUUUCCUCUUAGCACAGCUUUCAUUGUGUCCCAUAAGUUUGGGUAUGUUGUACCUUCAUUUUCAUUAAAUUCUAAGAAGUCUUUAAUUUCUUUCUUUAUUUCUUCCUUGACCAGGUUAUCAUUGAGUAGAGCAUUGUUCAACUUCCAUGUAUAUGUGGGCAUUCUUCCUUGACUGUUAUUGAAGACCAGUUUUAGCCUGUGGUGGUAUAAUAGGAAGUAUGGGAUUAUUUCUAUGUUUCUUUCUCUGUUGAGGCCUGUUUUAUGACCGAUUAUAUGGUCAUUUUUGGAGAAAGUACCAUAAGGUGGUGAGAAGAAGGUAUGUCCUUUUGUUUUUAGGAUAGAAUGUUCUACAAAUAUCUGUUAAGUCCAUUUGGUUCAUAACUUCUGUUAGUCUAUGUCUUUGUUUAAUUCUGUUUCCAUGUUCUGUCCGUUGAUGAGAGUGGGGUGUUGAAAUCUCCUACUAUUAUUGUGUGAGGUGCAAUGUGUGUUUUGAGCUUUAGUAAGGUUUCUUUUAUGUAUGUAGGUGCCCUGGUAUUUGGAGCAUAGAUAUUUAGGAUUGAGAGUUUAUCUUGGUGGAUUUUUCCUUUGAUGAAUAUGAAGUGUCCUUCCUUAUCUUUUUUGAUGACUUUUGGUUGAAAAUCGAUUUUAUUCGAUAUUAGAAGGGUACUCCAGCUUGCUUCUUCAGACCAUUUGCUUGGAAAGUUAUUUUCUAGUGUUUUACUCUGAGGUAGUUUCUGUCUUUGUCUCUGAGGUGUGUUUCCUGUAGGCAGCAAAAUGCUGGGUCCUCAUUGUGUAUCCAGUUUGUUAAUCUGUGUCUUUUUAUUGAGGAGUUCAGUCCAUUGAUGUUGAGAGAUAUUAAGUUAUAGUGAUUGCUGCUUCCUGUUAUAUUCGUAUUUGGAGGUGAGAUUAUGUUUGUGUGCUUGUCUUCUCUUUGUUGCAAAACGAUUAGUUUCUUGCUUUUUCUAGGGUGUAGCUUGUCUCCUUGUGUUGGGCUUUAUCAUUUAUUAUCCUUUGUAGGUUUUGUAGAAAUAUAUUGUGUAAAUUUGGUUUUUCCAUAGAAUAUCUUGGUUUCUCCAUCAUGUUAAUUGAGAGUUUUGCUGGAUACAGUAACCUGGGCUGGCAUUUUUGUUCUCUUAGGGUCUGUAUGACAGCUGUCCAGGAUCUUCUGGCUUUCAUAAUCUCUGGUGUAAUUCUGAUAGGUCUGCCUUUAUAUGUUACCUGACCUUUUUCCCUUACUGCUUUUAAUAUUCUUUCUUUGUUUUGUGCAUUUGGUGUUUUGACUAUUAUGUGACCGGAGGAGUUUCUUUUCUGGUCUAAUCUAUUUGGAGUUCUGUAGGCUUCUUGUAUGUCUAUGGGUAUCUCUUUCUUUAGGUUAGGAAAGUUUUCUUCUAUGAUUUUGUUGAAGAUAUUUACUGGUCCUUUGCGUUGGGAGUCUUCACUCUCUUCUAUACCUAUUAUCCUUAGGUUUGAUCUUCUCAUUGUGUCCUGGGUUUCCUGUAUGUUUUGGGCCAGUAGCUUUUUCCAUUUUACAUUAUCUUUGACAGAUGUUUCGAUGAUUUCUAUGGAAUCUUCUGCUCCUGAGAUUCUCUUUUCUAUCUCUUCCAUUCUGUUGGUGAUGCUUGUAUCUACGGCUCCUUGUCUCUUCCUUUGGUUUUCUAUAUCCAGGGUUGUCUCCCUUUGUGCUUUCUUUAUUUCUUUUAUUUCCAUGUAUAAUUCCUUCACCUGUUUGAUUGUGUUUACCUGUAAUUCUUUCAGGGGUUUUUGUGUUUCCUCUCUAUAGGCUUCUGCUUGUUUAUUUGUGUUUUCCUGCAUUUCUCUAAGGGAGUUCUUUAUGUCUGUUUUGAAGUCCUCCAUCAUCAUGAUCAAUUGUGCUUUUAAAUAUAGAUCUUGCUUUUUUGGUGUGUUUGCUUUGGUGGGAGAAUUGGCCUCCAAUGAUGUAAUGCAGUCUUGGUUUCUGUUGCUUGGGUUCCUGAGUUUGCCUCUCACCUUCAGGUUGUCUCUGGUUUUACCUUGUUCUGCUAUUUCUGACAGUGGCCAGACUGUGCUAUAGACCUGUGUGUCAGGAGUGCUGUAGACCUGCUUCCCUGUUUUCUUUCAGCCAGUUAUGGGAACAGAGUGUUCUACUUUCAGGCAUGUAGUCGUUCCUGUCUAUUGGUCUUCAACUGUUCCUGUGGGUGUGUUUCCUGAGUCCACCAGGCAGGUCACUUGGAGCAGAAGAGUUGGUCUUACCUCUGGUCUCAGGCCUGAAGACGCUCCUAGGGCCUGCAUUUCAGCUCUCUGUGAGGGCAGCAACCAGAAAGGCCUGCCCUGCUUUCUCCGUCGGGGUCCCAGUGCACAGGGUGCCCAGAUGGUGCUAGGCAUUUUCCACUAGAGUCAGAAAUGUGGGCAGAGAGUAGUCUUCUCUGGCUUCCCAGGUGUGUCUGCCCCUCUGAAGGUCUAGCUCUCCCUUCCACGGGAUUUGGGUGCAGGAUUUGACCAGGUCCCUUCAGAUCUGUGUGAGGUCUGGACUGCAGUGCUCCUGCAGCUUGAGUGCCCUUAUCUUCCUGUUCCCAGAGGCCCUGUAUAGUUUCCUCUUGGGCCAGCAAUGUGGGCAAGAGUGGGCAGUACUGUCGGUGUCUCCUGCCCUGCAGUCUCAGGAGGGAUGAGCUCUCUCUCCCACAGGGUUUGGGAGUUGGGAACUGUGGGCCCGGAUCAGAGAGGUUCGGGCUCCUGCUAGAAACCGGAAGUGCCCGGUCCCAGAGGAAUUUUGCCUUUGUUUGUCCUGAGUCCACCAGGCAGGUCACUUGGAGCAGAAAAGUUGGUCUUACCCCUGGUCUCGGGCCUGAAUUCGCUCUCUAUGUAUCAGCAAGCACUCUGUCAGGUGAUAUUCUGAAGGUAGGCAAUUGAUAAAGACUCCCUGACCUGGCACCCCCUGGAGGAUAUGUUAUAGCCUGGUUUUGGGGGAUCGGUGUAUCCUAGUGGUUCUUUUCUCUUUCUGUUCUUGGAUUUAGGUUAUCUUUAGAGGACCCUCAAUUAAUUGGUUGGUUAAUUAAUUAGCUUUGUCUCUGGAGAUAAACUCGGACAGUCCUCCAUGCUACAUGUACCAUUGAGCUUCUCCCCAAACCAAGCCAUUUGAAUAAUUUCGUAUGUCAUAUAGAAAUGUAGUCUUGACCUAGGGCAUACAGUUCUCCAAUUUAAAAAUGCUCAUUAGAUAUAUUUUUAUUCCUUUUCUUGUUUUUCUAAAUGAGGAAAACUGUCCUAUAUGAGUUUAACCUUGCUUCUGAACCUACUGUGAGACCUCUUGUGGUUGAACCUUCCUGGAGGGCUAAGUCACUGGCUUAGCUCUGAAUCAGUAUGAGCCAUCUUUCUAACAAAUGCAGCUCACUUUCUGUGUAUGGUUGUUGAGACACUUCAUUAGCUGUGCCUUGAUUUAUUUAGGAUUUAGAGCAAUGGCGGGUUUUCUUUCUCAUUGCUGCUCUAAUUUGUCUUGAAAUAGAAUUGUUCUCUCCAGUAAAUGGUUUGCAGCAUGCCUGUUUGCCGCCGCCUCCUCCUCCUCCUCCUCCUCCUCCUCCUCCUCCUCCUCCUCCUCCUCCUCCUCCUCCUCCUCCUCCUCCUCCUCCUCCUCCUCUUCCCUAACAGUUGAAGUGGGAAAUGGAAUUCAGGGGUGGAAUAGGAAUUAGGUUUUUUCUUUCUCUUUCCCCAAAUGUUGGAGUGUUGAAUUGGCAACAUAGCUAACUAGCUUGGGUGUAAAAGAUAUUAAAUAAAUUCAAAACUCAAUCUUACCAUUUAACUAAAUUCAAACAUCUUUCCCAAAUGAUAUGUGUUACCUCCCAGCAAUGGUGAGACACAGUAGUUUUUGUUAGUGUAGCAUUUGGAUACACAGACUCUAUGACUACAGGGCCUGCUGAAUUUUAACUGGCUCCCAUUUCCUAGUCGUGUGCCUUGAGGUAACUUACUCAGUUUUGCUGUCUUCACUUGUCCAUGUUGUUGAGAAGAGAAUGCUGUAGAAGAUGCAGCUUAAAUAGCAGCUACUUGCUCUUUAGAGUUGGAUGCUGGAAAAAUGCAAGGCCAAGGCACUGGCAGAUUUGUUAUCUCUUGAAGCUGCUUGCUGGUUUGCAGAGAGCCACCUUCUUUCUCCCUUUGUCUUCACAUGGGGGCAUAGGCUUAGCCUCUCACAGCCUUUCCUUAGGACAGCAUUAACCUCAUUCAUGAGGGGCCCUAUGCACCUACAGGGGCUGUAAAGUGGGAAGCAUAAUGGCAUAGAUACAGGGUUGUUCUUGGACUUAAAUAAUGUUAUUACUAUCUGUUAUAUAAUAUGUUCUGCAUUAUCUUAUGCAGUAUAUGUUACAUAUUUUAUAAUAUGAUAUAUACUAUCUACUAUAUGCUAUAUAACAUAUAAUAUGUAAUAUAAUAUAUAUGGCAUGUGGCAUGUGAUAUAUGAUAUAUAUUAUAAUAGAGGCCCAGAAGAUCAUGCGUGACACCACAAAAGUACAUAUGUAGAAAUUAAUGAAUAUAAAUAAAUAUUGAGUCAUUCUCACAUUAUGUCUUUCAUAAUUACGGUGGUACAUUAGGCUUUCCAUGCUGGUGAAAGAAUGACAGUUUUGUUUUUAUUUUUGACAAAAAAGACAUCUUAGACUAUUGGGAAAUAAUUCUGGCUGAUGUUAGUCAUAAGCAUCACUUGUAUUUGCUGUAGUACAGUUUGUGGCACUGAGAUUUAAAAAAGGAGAUGAGUUGAUGAAAAUGGUUCAUAAAUUCAAUUUUGUUUCUCUGUCUCUGCAGAAAAUAAGUAGAAUAAGAAAUGUAUUUUCCUUUAGGCAUUCAGGGGGUUCAGUGUUCAGAAAGAUUGUUCUAAAGGUUUUUUUCAUAGAUUCACCAUGCAUCUACUGCUGAGGCACCAACAGGGGAUAGGUCUUAAAAUGAGUAAAUGAAACAUGGAUGUUUCGAUGACAUACAUAGCACUUAAUAACACUUGUUUUCCAUUUUUAAUUUGUGUAUGUGUUAUGCAUGUGUGUGUGCUUGUGUGUGCAUGUGUGUGUGUACAUUGAAUGUGAGUCUAUACAAGUAGACACCCAAGGUUGAUGCUACUUUAUUGUCUCCAGUCACUUAUUAGCCAGCUUGCUCGAGGCAGGGGGGGCACUUCUGACAUUGAAAGCCAGAAUUACCCUGGCAUUUUUGUGAUUUCUGGUGGUGUAAACUCUGAUCCUUACCUUUGAGCAGAAAAUUCUUAACUGCUUAGCCAUACCCCAAGCACAACUCACUAUCUCAUAUAUACAUAUAUACAUGCAUACAUAUUUCUUAAAUAAGUAAGAUAUAAAUAUAAAAUGGUAAAAAGAUAGAGUAUAUAUACACAAUUAAUAUAUCUAUUCUCAUAUUUAUAUAAUAAUAUAUAUGUACUAAAUAGUUAUAUCAUAUAUAUGUGUAUAUAUGUGUAUAUAUAUAUCUGAGACUAGUUGAUGUACUAUGUUUAUUUGGGGUAGUUCACACAUCUCUCAGUGUUUGAAUUGUUCCCUUUUGGAUUUUGAAGAUGAAUUAGUUAUUUAGUUAUGUUUCUCUUUGUGAGAAGGUCCCUAUCCUGGUUAGCUUUAAUUGUCAACUUGAUACAACUUGGUUUCAUCUGAUUGAGAAAUUGCCUAAAUCAGAUUGAUCUGUGGCCAUGUCUGUAGGGGAUUUGUCUUGAUUAUUAACUGAUGCGGGAGGCCAAGCCCACUGUGGGUAGAACCAUUCAUUCUUAGGCACAUACUUCUAGGCUGUAUAAGAAAGCUAGCUAGGCAGCAGCCUGAAAGGGAAAGUUAGUAAGCAGCAUCCUCUAUGCUUUCUGCUCAGUUCCUGCACUGACUCAAUGGUAGUUUGUGACCUAGAGUCGUAAGUCAGAUAAACCCUUCUCUCAUCUAAACUUCCUUUGGUCAGAGUGGUUUGUUGUUGUAGUUUUGUCACUGCAACAGAAAGGACACCAGAACAACCUCAAAGCCCCUAGAUACAAUUUUUCUCUCUACUUCUAAGAUACAAUGCCACCAUCUAGGAAGGUCUGUAUAAUUCAGCACUGGCUUGCUCAGUUGAUUACAUUCUUUUAAAUUUUGAACUCAUGAGUUUAAAUGCACGAGGUGAAGUUGCCGUAGUUGGCCGUGUCCCACCUUGAGAACCCCAGAGGCCAAGUAAGGGGUCUAAAUUUUAAGUUCAAGGGAAAGCCAUUUGGAAGGUUGGUGGUAGUACUGCUUGCAUUUCUAUUUUAGGCCAGACUUACUAUUUUUAUUUUAUGCAUACUUUAAUUACUGUUAUAUUUCCACGGAUAAUUCUUUCUAUAUUUUUUGUGUUAGUCCCAAAUUUGUAUUUUACACCAAAUAAUCAUAUUGGUUUUCAUGCUUCUUAUUUCUAGUAUUUUUCAUUUGUGCAAAAGCUCAACAAUAUAAAAAAGCCAAGUGGAAUACUGUAUUUUAACACGGCUUUACCUCUUGGCAGAGAUCUGUUUAUUAUCAAGGUUUCUUAUUUUGUUAGGUGAAUGUCAUAAUUGGUUGUUUUGUCGCAAUUGAAUUUUGUGCUUAAAACAUCAGGGUUUCUAAUUUAGAGCAAAUUAAUCUGCUUGUAGUUUUAUGGUGAAGAAUCUAUUUGUGUGAAUCUUUUGAGAUUAGCUUAAUUAGAUGAUUGGAAAAAUAUUUACACUACAUACUCUGAAACCACAGAUUUUGUUCCUAAGUCGUUGCAUGGGAUUAGAAUUUUCAAGAGGCCCUGUUGCCUUCAGGAGACAAGCUCGAGUGGGCAGUUCUGAAGGAGAGAGGAGGCCUCAUAGGAGACAGGAAGUCAUAAGGGUUGGCCAGACUGUGGCUACAGUGAUGGGAAGAGAAGAGAUGUAGGGACUGGAUGGUGGUCAUGCGUUAAGAUCACUGCCAUCCUGUGCUCGAGUACAGGUCUACUUGGGAAAUGAGGAGAUGCUCAUUGGUCAGCAUGAGUGCUGAAUGAAGGGACACUCCUUUCUUAUGGGGAAUUCUAAUUAAUGUUUGUUUCAGUCUCCUUCUUUUAGAUCUGUUUUCUUCCAAGUCACUGAAGUCAGUUCUUAAAGGUCUGUAAAUCUAUUCCUUUCCUCCAGAACAAAAGCCAGUGUCUGUCUCUGUCUCUGUCUCUGUCUCUCUGUCUCUGUCUCUGUCUCUCUCUCUCUGUCUCUCUCUCUCUCUCUCACACACACACACACACACACACACACACACACACCAGUAUGACUAUAGAUAUAGGUUUUUGUUGCUACUUUUUUUUUUGGGACAAGGUGUAACUGUAUAGGUCAAGCAUGCCUGGACAUCAUUAUGUUACCCAGGCUGGCCUCGGCUUCACAGCAAACUUCGUCUCAGCCUCUAGAGUGCUGGAAUUCUAGGUGCACGCCAUUAUACCUGGCUCUAUUCCAGCAUUAUUAGUGCUCUGAUUUAUAAUUGAUUUUGUUUUUCAUGGCUACUCUUCCUAGAUAUGAAGGGGACUCUGGUCCCUUGAUUGGAUAUGAGGACAACUUCACAGUGUGGCCUUGAGUGAGUAUGGGAGACAUUCUCCUGUCCUUGCUGGUGGCUGGGCAAGCACUUAAGUCUCCAACACAGUGUUUCAUCAAGGUGUCUUUCAUGGAGGAGGGAUUUCUUGUGACUGCUAAACUCACCAUUCCACUCUGACUGUCUCAGCUUUCCUGUCAGUAGAAACCUUUUCUCAUCUCAGCUUCUAAAAGUAUCCACUCUUGGAAUCUUUGAGAGCUUUUCUCAGACCAAUAAAUACAGAAUGCCUUGUAUAGAAGAAGUCUAUCUGCAAAACUUUAGCUGAGGUCACAGUGCUGCGGCAUGGGGCCUACUUCACCCAAAGUGUAACUAAUGGUUACUAAACAGCAAGAAUCAAUUAAACAGGAAAGCACAGAAUAUAGAGCUAAGCAGAUCAGAUUUUGGUCGCAAUGCCACCAUCUAUUAUCUGUGCAAUGAACCUGCUACAUUUGUAAAGUGGGAAUAGAUAGUAAGAUUAUCUACUGGAAACAUCCCAAUGAUGGUGUCAAGUGACUAGUGACAAGCAAGAAAGGAUCCAGACAGAUUCCAAUUCUUCAGCAUUCUGGGUGAUGUUUUAUUUUUACUAGGUCAUUUUCUUUUCAGUUUCUGGCCCCAGUCCCAGUCCCAAAGCCUGCCCAACAGGGGUAGAUUUGCACUUGCAGGGUCAGUGAGACUUAGCCGCUGUUGCAUUCAUUGACUAGUAAUAAAAGAUGAAUUCCUGAAUCAUAAAUCUGUGCCUCACAGACUGGGUGUUUACUUACUCUCAGCAACGUGCUGAUGUCUUCAGUGUUCUCACAAGUACAGAGCUCAGACAGAUGAUCUUCUCAUUUCAUUAUGGUCAUAGCUCCUCUCCACUUCUCUUCACCCAGACCUCUGUGCCAAGCAUGGAGCUGAUGACUCUCACAAUUGUUACUGCUGCUCAUACCAACACUAGUUGAGUAGUGGGUGCUGUAGUUACACAGGAGGAAGACAUGGGAAGGAUAUAUGAUUUGCCCUGGUCAGGAAGCUGGGAAUGGGACAGGAGUCAGGUGGAGGAUGGGCAGUGGCAGUAGGUGAACCCAAACCAUUGUUUUUGUUGUUUAUUUGUUGUUUUAUUGGUUUUCUGGUUUUGCUAUUGUUGUUUCACCUGCAAGUGGGAGUGAGGGUGAAGCUAAGAACCUGGAAGCCUUGCUGAGCUGUUCCAAUCCUGGCCUUGGCCUUUUUGUAGGUUCCUGAAAGUUGUCUUUGUGGACAAAGGUUGCAGGGCAUAGCAGGGAGUGUGGCGGGAAGCGAGUUAUAUCCCAAAACAGGUCAGUGUGACUCCAAAAACAAAGGGCAGGAGAGAUAGUUCUGUUCAGAACUAGCCAGAUAGAAAACUGAACUUACACUCCAAAACCAGGCCCAGCUCUCUGUUGUCUCUUGAACUAACUAUGGGUUUGUACCCACAUCACGUGACAGCUGCUUCAUAGGGGAGCCAAUGACUUUCAUGCUCUUCACUCUGUCCAUUUACCAUCCGUAUCUCCGAGGCAGCGUUGCAGCCCAUCCCUCACCAGGUCUAACGUUCUUCAUCUGACUAACUUGAGAAGACUAGAGGUGACUUGCACAUAGUUGCAUGCUUGGCCUUUGUGUGCAUGUACAUGUGAGUGUGUGUAGGCAUUAGACCAUAUGAGUCCUUCUGCUGGUACAACUACAGUUUUCCAGUUGUUGCUCUUCUCUUACAUAGUCUAUCUCUCAGGAUUCUAUGGUAUUAGAUGACUGGUGAAUCCCAGGUUAGUAUCUAUAACCCAAGCCCUUCAGCAAACUCUAUUCUUACAUAUCAACUGACAUUCACAGUGUAGAUCUUAUGUCCAUUUGAAGCUGAACUUCUGAGUUUUUUCUUGUUUUAUCACCAGCCCUGUUUGUUCCUGCCCUGUUGGCUUACUGAAUAGUGUGCCAUCUUAACUGACACUCAAGACGGUCUCAGAGCCACACCUGACUGUGCUCUCUAUUUUGUGUUCUUUAUGCAUCCCCUCUCUCCUGGUCCUUUUUGGCCAACUUCUUUUGCUUGGGUUAUUUUGUAAGCUGUAAAGGUUCUCCCUCUAGAUUUCAGAGUGGGUCCCUCCCUAAUGACCUUUAGGACUCACACAAAUUAGCAUGCUGUAACUGUGACUCAGCACUAUGGUGAGGUGCUGCCAAGUCACCCCUCUUCCUGUCUCCCUUUGCUACUCCCUUCUCCCCUGUUGCUCUUCCCUGGUCAUAACAUUUGCAUUUCAGAAAAUGCCAAAAGGAUGAGGAUUCUGUCAAUAUUGCUUUUCAGCCUGUAUUAGUUACUUUUCUCAUUUAUUGUAGCAGAGUGCCUGAGAAAACAACCUAAGGAAGGAAAUUUUUUUAAGCUCAUGAUUUGAGCAGAUCCAUCACAGCUUGGAAGAAAGGACAACCAUCAUGGCCUAGAAGGCAGGGAAUCUGGAAUGUGACCCGCAGGUCACACUAUGUCCACAGUCAGGAAGCAGAGAGAUGAAUCCAGUGUUCCACUCCCUUAAAUUCAGUCUGAGGCCCCAUUCAGGAUGGUUCUUCCUCCCUCAGUUAAACCUUUCUGGGAAUGCUCUCACAGACACACCCAGAGAUGUGUCUCUAAGGAGAUUCUAAAUCCCAUCAAGUUCAGGAUUCAGAUCAUCUCUCUCUCUCUCUCUCUCUCUCUCUCUCUCUCUCUCUCUCUCUCUCUCAAAGAGUACCAUCCUUUUGAGUAUCAAAGAAGGAAAUGGAUCUUGGCUGCAGAGCAGCCUCUGAGCUGGGAAUUGAGGUUUUGACAGAAGGGCAGAACGUGUGGAGGAACACAAGUGACCAGGCCCAUGGUGACUGAGCUUUCUGAGAGCAUCGAAAAUAAAUGCUUUGGAUUUGUUUGUUUCUAGCUUGUGUAGUUUUUCCUCUCUAUGUUCUCAAGGGCCUCACGAAGCUCAGAAAUUCCACGACUGUGGUGGGUGUGAGUGGAUACAGAUUUUGGUUGCUAUAUUUUGUCUUUGCACACUCAUUGUCCUCACUUGACUUGGAGCUGGCCAUUCUCUGUGUGUUUCCCCCACCAGCUGUAUGAACUAGGUUAUUCUCACUGCACUUGAGAAGACUAGAGGUGACUAGCACGUAGUUGCAGGCUUGGCCUUUGUGUGCAUGUGCACAUAAGUGUGUGUAGAGGGACUGAUCCUGCACUAGUCUGAUGAUUGCUUCCUCUCCCCACAACCCCCCCCCCGCACUUUUUUUUUCAUUUUAAAUCCCAGUUUAACUGUAAAGCAAGUGUCAUUCUCUAGACAGCUCCUGGCAGGCAGAAAUAGGCUUAUCUUGAAUUCACAAAGAGAAAGAAGGCUAGAAGUUACUAAGACCAGGCCUUUUAGCUGCUAAAAGUUGAGAGAACCGGGAAGGGGAAUAACAAUCGAAAUGUAAAUAAGAAAUACUCAAGUUAAUAAAGAUAAAAAAUAAAUAAAUAAAUCCAGGUUGUUCGCACUGGCCAAAAAAAAAAAAAAAGUUGAGAGAACCACAGGGAUUGGAGGUAGGGUGGAAGAUGCUUUCAAAAUCAUGCAGAUUUUAUUUAAUUAGCAUCCCGAUGGAAUGGGCCCAAGAAUCUGUAAUAAGGAAGAGGAGGCAAUAGUAGCAGUAGUGACAUAGGUGGCUAUGUCUCAAAAAGUGGGAAAAUCUCAAGAGACUGCUGUGGUACAGAACUUUGGCUAUGUCAGUGACUCCCUAAUACCGCGCCACUCAGAAAAAAAAUUAGACAAGAAAACCAAUAGCUACAAAGAGCCCAUUGCUUUACUCAGUUCCUGUGAAGGAUGGACUGUGAAGGAUCAAUUGUCUCCAUCAAUGUCUUUAUGUUCAAGAGAGUGACUAGAAAUGAGCAAGAGGUUAGGAAGAUGAAGGAAAGCACUCAGAUGUGAAGUAAGAACAGAAGGUGUGUGGAGAGAUAAGAAGCUUGCCUCACCUAUAUCCUUGGAUGCUGAAUGGGGAGGGCACUUGAGACACAGGGCAGGAUGCAGGAAUCCUCGACCUUUGCUGGGUCACACAUCUUGAGUGUUCUGAUCAUGGGCAGCUCUUUCUGAUUACAGUUCAUCCCUUUUCCUUCCAUUGACAGAGUCUGGGCUGACUCUGGGACCCACUCACACUCCUUCCCCUGCCUCCCGGGCUUUGUAAGCAGAUAUUUAUCAAAUCCUGCUGUGAAUGUGCUUUUCUUCACCUUCACAAAAGGUAUAUUUUUUUUAUCUCUUUCUCCCCAAAUCUUUUCUUCUACUUUGUCCCCUUUCCCUUAGCCAGGAAAUGAUCUCUCAGUGACAAAACCCUUAUUAAGGUUUGCUCAGUGUGAGGUUAAAAAAAACACUUUGUGUAGGGGUUCUAAUUUACUUUAUGGGACUCCUGUACAAAGUGAUACCAUACAUGGGAUUUGAAGUAAUACCCAUAAUUUCAUGAAGAAAAGCAAAUUAUGUUCUGCCAUAAUUUCUAUAUCAAUCCAAAUAUUUUUACAUUCAUUUAUCAAGUAAUAAUUUACUGUCCCAAGGUAUUCUUAAAAUGUGUCUUCAAGGGGUUGGGGAUUUAGCUCAGUGGUAGAGCGCUCCUGGGUUCGGUCCCCAGCUCCAAAAAAAAAAAGAAAAAAAGAAAAAGAAGAAAAAAGAAAAAAUGUGUCUUCAAAAUGAUUAAGGAGUGUUGCAUUUAAAAGAUUUUACACCUGAUUUAAUCACCUUGGCCUUCUACUGCUGUCCCCUUAAGCAUUAGCAAUUCUGUCUUUUGUUAAUGUAAAAAUGCCUUGCCUGACUGCAAUAAAAGGUAAGAGGUUCUAGUAUUUUGUUAGAGAGUUUAAGAUCCACUUCCUGUGCCUAUGCUGCCUGCUCAUAGAUGUUUGCUAUUUUUCAGUAUCUCAUUGACUAUGGAGGAUGUCUGCUUAUUCAACCUACUCUUUAGUUACUGACAUUGUAUUUAAAGGUUCAGCUAAACCCACUGAAAAAGCCAAGAGCUACAGUCCACCUACCCUUUGCAUUUUUGACUUAGUAGUUUUGUAGUUACAGUCUUUAAAAAUUAUGGUUCUCAUCACCUCUGCAAAUUUGGGUCAAUUUUAAAAGGAAGUUAAGUGUUCUUAUUAUGUUAUGGGUUACUCUUAUUAACUUGAACAUUAUUAUGCACUUACUGGUGGUUUCAGGCCCAACCAUGUUAUUGGGAAUAUCUUCAUUUAUCUAUUAUUUUUUAAUCAAUAUUGAUCAUUUGGUAAAAGCUACAUGGUGUAGACCCAAAUAUGGAUACUGUACUGUGUUUGGGGUACGAGUCACAGUCCUGUCCUCAGAAGCUCAGUUUGCAGUGGAGAUUACGGAUGCUCACUUUCAUGUUCUGUUUUGAUAGAAAAUUCACCAUUUUAACCAUUUUUAAAGCAUUCUGUGUAGUGACAAUUUGAAGAUCAUAUUAUUAUGUAUCUGUCCUCAUCAUCCAUCUCUAGACUUUCUUUUUCCCCAAAUGGAAACCCUGGGUCCACUCAUGGUGAAUUUUAACAUGUACAUGACCAAAGAGGUAUGGUACCAGAGGGCAGAAAAUUUUUGUACAGACUCACUGUCAGAUGAAUGUCUGUGGUCAACCUUCACCCCAUCUCUUGUGUGCACAAGAAAUCAAAGACCAAAGACCCAAGACUCUUGAGUCAGGUCCUUAUCUGAGCUGAAGAACCUGUCACCUUGAGUGGAGAAUGAGCAUACUUCCUUUCUGGGACACGCAGACAAGAACCGUGGUCCUGUUUAAUAUCUGCUAUUUAUAAACAAGAGCCUUGACCUUAAGUCAACCAUCACAAUAUACUCAACUAUUGCCUGGGCCACCUGCAACAGCCUAGAAGCAAGCAAGGAUUUAUGGUCAUCGAGGGCAGCUGAGCAACAGUAAAUUGUGAGCCAUAUUUACUUGCCUUUAUGACAACUUAGCAAGCUCCCUAGAGCCACUGGGACACAGAUCAAAUAGCACAGUUAUCACUUGGCAACAGGUGAUUACAGAACACUCACUAGGUGUGAGGUGUUUCUGUUGACCCCUCCUUUUUCCAGCAAGGCUUCAGAUUAGCAGACUUUAUUUUUGUUUCAAUCCCCACCCCCACCCCCAUUAAUCCACUGGCUAGAUUAGGUUCAUCUCAAAAUGUACCUCAUGAAAGUGUUGCAGAAUUAAGCAUUUGGCACCUCUUUCUGGGAAUAAAAACAAAGGUUAGCAUUAGGAUCCUGCCCCUCACUCUUUGUCACCCCUCCUUUCUCUGUAAAAUAAACACACAGUCCAACCAUUUCACAUGUUCAAACUGAAGCUUGCCACUUCUUCCCUCUGCCAUUGCCCAUGUCUAAUCUAUAAUCAGAGUGCGUGUUGUAGUAGUAAAAGGGACAGAUUGGGACUGGGGGUGGCAAUUUCUUUGCUAUUGAGUCAGAACAACAAAAUAGGGGGCUGUGAAGUGGAAUGUGGUCAGAAGCUGCUUGCCUCCAGUACAAGCAUAAAUGACAGCAUCACAUAAUGAAGGUGAAUGUGUGCCAACCAGAUUGACAGCACCCGUGAAGGAAAAGGAAGACUUAGCCUGGGGCCAGGAAGGACCCAGAUUCUUCUGUUUUCUCCUAUCCCACCAGUCAUUCUCCACGACCUAAAGCUUAAACUGCUUGCUGCCUCUUUAGAAUUUUAUUUUAUUGCUUAUUAUUGGGAGCUGAGGUGCUUGCACAUGUGGAAGUCAGAGGACAACUUUGUCAAGUGUUUCCUCUCCCUCAGUGUUCAGGGGUCAACUCAGUGUUUUAGUUAUUGCUGUGAUAGAACACUGUGACCAAGGCAAGUUUUAGAAGCUUAUUUAAGGCUUAUGGUUCUAGAGGAACCAUAGAAUCUAUCACCAUUGCUCUGUGGCUGGAGCAGCUGAGAUCACACAUCAAUCUGUAAACAGGGAACACAGAGAGAGCUAAGUAGAAAUGCAGCUGACUCAUAAAAUCUCAAAGCCCACCCCUACGGACAUAUUUCCUCCAACAAGGCCAUGGCCCCUAAACUUCCCAAACACCUCCAUCAACUGGAGGCAAGUAUUUAAAUGCUAGGUUAUGAGGGACAUGUUCAGAGCACAACACUCAGGCCAUCAGGCUUGCUCAGAGGGAUUUGCUGGCUUGAGUUGCUGCCUCUUGCUAUGUAACCUUGAGGGACACUCAUUAACAUGGAAAGGACUGAGAAAGGAUGGUUGGCUGUUCAUGCCCAGAUAUGAACUAGAGGAUCAAGAUCCUCUCGCUCUCUCACACUCACAGUCAUUCUCUCUUGUUCUUCCACUCUCUCAGGAUUGAACCCAAGGCCUCUCACAUGCCAGACAAAUGCUCUACACUGAGUCAGUCUAAUUCUUUAUGGGGGAUGGGGAGAAAAGGUUGGGUAACAAAUGAACCACAAGCUACUCUCCUAAAGUUAGACUGCAGGGCCAGCACAGGAAAGUAACCUGACUAUUUUGGUCUAGCAAGUUAAUCUGGGUGCAUCUUCCCUCCAUGAGACUCUCAUCCCCAACAGUUACUUGUGGGAGAUGACUCCAGAUCCAGGCUCCGAGGCUACUUGUCCAGCAUGGAUUGGCAAUAAGUGUUUGGAUUGUUCAGUGCUUGCCUGGGGGUCUUUGAGGUUAGGGAGGAGGGAACAGAUGGCCUAAAACUGACAGGCUGCUUCACAAAGUGGCAAAACUGGUUUCCAGACUGUCACAGAAUGCCUGGUGUGGGCAUCCAUGUUAUUGUAGUAGGUUGGAGAAAAGGGUGGUCCUGUUUCCAGGGUGGAAACAAUCUGCUGUGUCACCUGUCCACUGCCUGCUUUGCGGAGGAUGGGAACAUGGAUGCCUGGCUCUGCACGCUUGUGCUUUGGCUGUAUGGGUACCAGCAGUUUUCCUCAGAGGAUGGACAGCAUCCUACUGAGGCAAGUGUGAAUGGCUGAGUGGCACACCACCACACCCACCUAGAAUAGCCUCUUCCUGACUUGUCACUGAUGCCCCUUCAUCCUGGGGUGAAGACUAAUAUGUGUACUUAUAAAAGCAAUAGAAGGUGAUUCCCAUAACUCUUUUUGAAUGGAGGUACCAGUCAGGUCCAAGAUGUACUAAGGUGGCCGCGGGGAAAACCAUCUGCUCUCAGAGGGUGUCUGAAGAAGCCAAGACUAUCAGUAACAGAGUGAUACAUCCUGAUAGUAACCCUCAUGCUGCUAAGGGUUGCCUGAGUGCCAAGGAACAGAGCAUCUCAAAUCACAGCCAUCUGCUUCUCUCUUCACUACUUGUUUAAACUCAUCUCACCUGCUGUCCCACCCUGUAGAUCUGGCUCUUAUAUGUUGAUGAUCUCUGAAACUCAGUAGCUAAGGCGGUGCCCGAGCCAGAGUGCAGUCAUCAUCUGCAAUGAAUGGCUUCUCUUAUUUAAAAGGAACUCAAAACCUCCACAAUAGACAGACACUGUUUUGGUUGGUGUUGAUAGGGGUCCCCAGGAAUCUGCCAUUUUAUGAGUUCAUAGUGGAGUGGGGGGAGACUCUGGAGUCCUGACUCCACAACCACUCUUCAGUUUUUCUGGCAAAGCCCUGCUACAGUUUGGAAAAGUUCCUCCCAAAGUCACAUGCUGAAGCCCAGUGGCUGGUGUGAUAGUAUUUAAGAAGUGGAUCUUGGCCGGAAGGUUUGACUAUAAGGUGACCCUGUUGGGAAUGGGCUUCAUUUAGUGGUAAAGUAAAGUAAAGUAAAGUAAGCCCAGUUUUGCUUCUGCUUUUUACAUGCAUGGCGAGAAUACAACCUUCCUCCCCUUGGGUGGGCAAGAUAACAAUGCACUGCCAUUAAAGUGAAGAUAGAGAGGGGGACCUCAGCAGACACAAAACCUGCCAGCUUCUUCACCUUGGAGUUCCAGGCUUCCUGAGUCAUGAGAACAAAAUCCUGUUCUUUGGAAAGGAGAUCUGUGGUGCUUGUUUGCUUGUGUUUUAUAGUAGCACAAGCAUACUGAGACAGAUGUGCUCCAGAAGGAGACUUUCCAAGUUUGGAAUGAACAAGGGAAACAGGACUUUGAUUCAUUGUCAAUACUUUAUCUUAGACCUGGGUUUCUUCACACUUAGUCUUCCUUUGCACCCUGAACUCUCCAGGCAAACUUUGGAAUUAUCUUGAAUUUAUUUCUUUUCAGCAACAUAGUUGAAAUCAAUUGACAGAGUACUUUUAUAGGAAAUCAAAAAUAAUUUACCACUGGAUAUUCAUAUAUACACAUGGGUACACAUAUAUAAUAUGUGUGUAUAUAUUUAUAGUAUAUAUAUAUAUAUAUUUAUAAUAUAUAUUUAUAUAAUAUAUAUCCAAGACAUACAGUCUUACCUGGGCUUGGUUUUAGUGCCAGAUACUGACAGUUGUCAAAACUGUCAUUAUGGUGUCAGACCCAUCAUGACUUGACACCAGGGACAGUGACCUUCUCCCCAUCCUUGCAAUGUUUAUUGAACCCUAUGCUCACCAGGUCUGCAGACAAAGUGUGCCUGUCCAGGACCAGGUAGUAGAGACAUACUGUAUGUCUGUCCCCUAGUUUAUGUACCCCUCUGGACACUGCUCUCAGAAGCAGACAUGACUUCUACUCUGACAGCUUAGAAGACAGCAAUUUGCAAAGCCACCAUCUCUGCCCACGUAAGGCCCAAUUUUGCACUUGAGGCUCACAUGUUCUCCAAAGAUGCUUAGUGGCUCCAAGACUUGCCCCACCCGUGUUCACUGAUAUCUCAAGUCUGUCCAUACAUAUCCUACAAGAGCUGUGGAUUCAGGAGUGUCUUAACACUGUUGUCAUUCUCUGACACUCUGUGGAGCUCCCUGGAGGCCUGAUGGUUGUGGGUGGCUUGGUCUCCUCUAUACCAUGACUCAGAGGACUCUAGGUUACACUAUGGAAAGUAUUCUCUUAUUUUCUUUCAAUGCUUCUAUGGUCUCUGAACCCUGCAGUAGAGAAACCUUCCUUCCCCUCAUGCCACAUCCCAAGAGGCUGUAGCACAAAUGGUGAGGCCAUGUUUAGAGGGGGUGUCACAGUGUUUGGGUAUGGAAACCUUGGGCAAGCUGGAGAUAAGAAUACCUAUCCUGGGAACUAUCUGUCCUUUGAGAUUGGUUGUGCCUCUGAGCACUGAAGGCUUACAGGUUAGUGACCGGCUGGCUGGUGGAAACCAGUAAACAUGCAUCAAGUAAAGCAGAAAGAUGUGAUGUUAUAAACCAGCUUCCAUAGUAUGGAGAGGUCAUGAAGUAGUGACCAUAAUACACCAUCUAUUUACUGAGCAUGUGCAGAGGCCUUGUAGAAACCCGGGUGGUGCUUGCUUUAAGGAACAGUAAUGACUGGGAUGUUUGAAUGGGGAAGACACCAGAAGUCUGACUCACAGAGUGUGUUAAUGAGUUUAUUCUUUAAGUUUUGUUUUUGUUUUUUGUUUUUUGUUUUUUUUUGGUUUUUUUUGUAUUCGUUUGGUUUUUUGAUGCAGGCUUUCUCUGGGUAGUCCUGGCUAUGCUGGAACUUCUCUGUUGACCAGGCUGGCCUCUGACUCAGAGAUUCCAAGUGCUGGGAUUAAAGGUAUAUGCCAUCACUGCCCAAAGAGUGAAUGAAUAAAUUAAUGAAUGAAUGAAUGAAUGAAUGAAUUUUUUGGAGCUGAAGAUGGAACCCAAGGCUUUGUGUUUGCUAGGCAGGUGCUCUAACAUUGUGCUAAAUCCCAAUACCAAAAAUUUCUUCUUUAGAGAAGUUGAAAGCCACUCAAGGGCCCUGGAAAGGAGAGUGACAGUUAUGUCUUCUUAAAGCUGCCAAUCUCGCUACAGAGUGGGGAUUGGACUAGAGAGAGGUGAGGAUAUGUGUGUGGAAGCCAGCUUGGAGCAUCCUGCAGCAGCUUAGCCAUAGGCAGUAAACACACAGAUUCUGAGACACUUGGGCAAAAAGUGGCUUAGAAAAUGGCACAGUGGCUUAGGAAGAGGAUGUCCUGUGAACAGUCACUUUGUCCAGAUGGAAUGCACCCACGAGACAUAAAUGUUUAUGCUAAUUAUUUACAAAGGAGCUUGCCCUUUGGUCUGUUCACUUCACAGACAAGCUUUGGUAGUUCCUGGCUUGUUUUAUGACCAGCCCCUCUAAGACUGGAAUUUGCCCUAACAGCGUACCUUAAGACCCUGGUGUGUCCCUGGUACUCAAUGCUAGAUCCUGUCCCCUCCUAUGUGUUGGGAGGGAAGCAAAGAAAGGAACUUUCCAGCAAACUCAUGCAGAACAGUCCUACAGGCUUGCCAGUACAGAGUCUGAGUUGCUCUCUCAGCCCCUCCCCAGACUCAACUGCCAUGCAGACUGGGCAGUGUAGAAGGGUCAGUGUCAGGGCCCAGCUGCUCCCUCCAGAUAGUACUCACAGUGAUUUGUUCCAGUCUCCCUGGGCCUUGGCUUGGCCUCUGGCUUUCAUCUGGACACUUGUCUCUUUUGAGUUUUAGCCAGGAUGCUGUCUGUCAGCUGCUCUGGCUUCUCUCAACACUGAAUUGAAGUCUCAUUUUGGACUGCACAGGCUUUGGCCAGCUUAUCUGUUCUUUCCUUGGCACUGUACCUUGGGAGUUUUGCUUAUCUUCCUCCCUGCUUUUAAUCCUUGUGGUUUUAAACAAAUCUAUAAUCAUUUGUGGUUUGUUUUUUUCUCAGACAUUAGCAAUUAAACUUUCCUGGAAGAUACAUAUACAUUGAGAAUUUAUGUUUAAAAGAGGAAUAGACUGAUUCUAUAUACCCAUCACUUAGUGUCCUCUCUGGUCUCUUUGCCAUGUCAUGGACUUGUACUACAUGCCUGGGCCUGGCUGUGGCCAUUCUUCCAGCCUGAGAGUCAGACAGUAGCCCUUUGACAGGGUAGGAAAUAUGGGGAGGCCCAUCUCUCUCCAUACUCCCUGUUCAGGACAGGACCAUGCCUUGGCACGGUACCUUGGCAGUUUUGCUUAUUUUCCUCCCCCAUUUUAAUCCUUGUGGUUUUAAACAAAUCUAUAAUCAUUUGCAGUCUCAUUGCUGAACAGCAGGGGGGCCAGAGCAGACGCAGGAAGAUGAUGUUGGGGCUCCUUAAUUCUGUUCUGAGCUUUGUCACCCUGGUUCUCUGACUUCCUCUCAUUCCAUUAAGAAAGGGGCAUCAAGAGGCGUUGAGACCUAAGAUGGAUGUAUCCAUUGCUUCUGCCUGAUUCUGCAGUGUGUGUGUGUGUGUGUGUGUGUGUGUGUGUGUGUGUGUGUGUGUAUGGGUGUGUGUGUGUGUGUGUAUGGGUGUGUGUGUGUAUGGGUGUGUGUGUGUGUGUGUAUGGGUGUGUGUGUAUGGGUGUGUGUGUGUGUGUGUGUAUGGGUGUGUGUGUGUGUGUGUGUGUAUGGGUGUGUGUGUAUGGGUGUGUGUGUGUGUGUGUGUAUGGGUGUGUGUGUGUGUAUGGGUGUGUGUGUGUGUGUGUAUGGGUGUGUGUGUGUGUGUGUAUCGGUGUGUGUGUGUGUGUGUGUAUGGGUGUGUGUGUGUGUAUGGGGGUGUGUGUGUAUGGGGGUGUGUGUGUGUAUGGGUGUGUGUGUGUGUGUAUGGGUGUGUGUGUGUGUGUAUGGGUGUGUGUGUGUGUGUGUAUGGGUGUGUGUGUGUAUGGGUGUGUGUGUGUGUGUGUGUGUGUGGGUGUGUGUGUGUGUGUAUGGGUGUGUGUGUGUGGGUGUGUGUGUGUGUGUGUAUGGGUGUGUGUAUGGGUGUGUGUGUGUGUGUGUGUAUGGGUGUGUGUGUGUAUGGGUGUGUGUGUGUGUGUGUAUGGGUGUGUGUGUGUGUGUGUGUAUGGGUGUGUGUGUGUGUGUGUGUGUAUGGGUGUGUGUGUGUGUGUGUAUGGGGGUGUGUGUGUGUGUGUGUGUAUGGGGGUGUGUGUGUAUGGGUGUGUGUGUGUGUGUGUGUAUGGGUGUGUGUGUGUGUGUGUGUGUAUGGGUGUGUGUGUGUGUGUGUGUAUGGGGGUGUGUGUGUAUGGGUGUGUGUGUGUAUGGGUGUGUGUGUAUGGGUGUGUGUGUGUAUGGGUGUGUGUGUGUGUGUGUAUGGGUGUGUGUGUGUGUAUGGGUGUGUGUGUGUGUAUGGGUGUGUGUGUGUGUGUAUGGGUGUGUGUGUGUAUGGGUGUGUGUGUGUGUGUAUGUGUGUGUAUGGGUGUGUGUGUGUAUGGGUGUGUGUGUGUGUGUGUAUGGGUGUGUGUGUGUGUGUGUGUGUGUGUGUGUGUGUGUGUGUGUGUUUGAAUGCAUGAGCAUGUAUAUGUGGAGUAUACAGGACAUCCUCAGCUAACAUUCCUCAGUCCUUUCCCAUCUAGAGCAUCCCCUCAGGGAGUGGAGUGACCCUGUCAUGGGGAUCACAUAACAGAUAACCUGCGUAUUUAUAUUAUGAUUCAAAAGGGUAGCAAAAUAGCAGUUGUGAGUAGCAAUGAAAAUAGUUUUAUGGUUGGGGAUCACCACAACAUGAAGAACUAAAUCAAAGGGCCUCAGGCUUAGGUGGGUUCAGGACUAUGGCACUAGAACUUUUAUGACUAUGGAGACAGUGGUACUCAUUGGCUUGGAAUUUUCCAAGUAGGUUAGGCUGGCAGGCAAACCGCAGGCAUUUCUGUGCUCUCCUAAGAUUUUAAGCAUGUGUAACCAUCCCUGGCUUUUUUCCCCUUAUAAACAUGGAUCCUGGGGCUUGAACUCAUGACUUCAUGCAUAAAAGGCAAGUAUUUUAAGAACUGAGCAGUCUCCCCACCCUUCUGCAUCUUUUAAAAGUUCCUAUUUAUCCAUAUUUGGAGAGCAUAAGGAGUUCUUCGGGUAUGUUCCUAAGAUGAAUUUCUAUAGGUAGGGACAGUUGUAGGGGUAGAAGAUAGGGUUCCUGGGGUGCAGUGAAACCUGCUUAGCUCUGAGGAAGGAGAAGUAUCUACCUGGUGGGUAGGAAAGAAAAGGUCACAUGGCCAAUGGGUUACAAUCUAGGGAAGCCCUUCUCAGCCUGGUUGCUUGUUGCUCCUGUUUAGUAGCCCUGUUAACUUCUGAGACCAGGUGUCCCCUCAACCAUCACCUUCUCUCAUGCUUUGAUCUGCAGGGCAGUCUCACAGCUGCCCUGUUUGUUCAGCAUGCAAUUAAUGUUCAUCUUCACUAAAGGCUUCUGCCUUCACCUGCUUCAGACACUGGCAGAGUGGCACAGGAACACCUCAGCUGGCUGUGACGUUUGGGUCAGCCGUGACCCACAUACAAGCCUAGUUGUAAGAGCAGAAUACAUACCACGUGACUGCUUUUCUCUGAGCCUGUCUCAUCUUAUAGACAUUAUUUCUGGUACUGUGGAAAUGGCCUCUCCUCUCCUAAAGCCCAUUCUUCAGCAAGCAGCAGGGGUGAAACCUUUCAAAAGUAAACCAGGUCAUGUCAUCCUUCAGUUCAGACCCUCCAGUGGCUAUUCCUGCUUCUGGCACAUGCCAGAUGCUUUAUAGGGACCUCUGAUUCUCUGACACGAUUCUCUUUUCACUGGCCCCAGCUCACUGGGAAACCCCUACUCCUGUCACCCAGAGCUCUGAGAUCCUGAUGUAGUUGUGCCUUCUUCUAAAACAGUGGUUCUCAACUUUCCUAAUUCUGUGACCCUUUAAUUCUGUUCCUCAUGUUGUGAUGACACCCCAUCUCUGCCAUAAAAUUAUUUUUGUUACUAUUUCAUAACUAGAAUUUUGCUACUGUUAUAAACCAUAAUGUAAAUAUCUUGUAUGUAGGAUAUUUCAUUGUGACCUCUGUGAAAAGGUCAGUCAACUCCCAAAGGGGUCAUGACCUACAAGUUGAGAAUCGCUAUUCUAGGAUAUUCUUUUUUUUUUUUUUUUUUUUUUUUUGGUUCUUUUUUUCGGAGCUGGGGACCGAACCCAGGGCCUUGCGCUUCCUAGGUAAGCGCUCUACCACUGAGCUAAAUCCCCAGCCCCCGCUAUUCUAGGAUAUUCUAACAUCACCAGAAAUGUCAAUCUUCCUGUCUAGCAGGCAGUGUUUGAUGUAUGCUAUUGUGUUGUUGAGAUAGCAGUGAGAUUUGGUCAGCUAUGACAUGCGGAUAUGUCACAAGUCAUUUGUUAAUAAAACUGAAAGUGCUAAAGGGAGCCUGUGAGCUGUCAAAAAUUCAAACCCAUUCCAAGGUGUUUGUAAAAUAACACAACUCUUGGUCAGUUGUAUCCUAUGUGUUUAGAUGAGCAGGAAAUGAAGAAGACAGAAUGUUUGGGGGUUGGGACAGCAUGUGUGGCAGCCCUCUCCCAUCUGCAACAGUUGUCACUUGUCUAUGUGUUGAGAUCCUCAGAAAAGAACAGAAGCUAUGGGGUGUGUGACAAGGGUGGGCUAAGCCUUGCUGUCUUGAGAGACAAGAACAAUAAUUCCUAUGAAUAGAAUGUAAAACAUUCCUUUAAUAUAAAGUCAUUUGUAGUCAGCAGUCUGUGUGUGUGUGUGUGUGUGUGUGUGUGUGUGUGUGUGUGUGUGUGCGUGUACCUCUAUGAUUCAUGUAACUAAGGACAGCCUCUGAUUCACCAUCUAGCCAAGGAUAACCUUGAACUCCUGAUCCUCCUGUCCUACCUCCUGAACACUGGGUUAUAGGCUUAUGUGUUAUCAGGUUUGGCUGCCGUGAUGUUUUUAAAGAAGUAGUUGGUGAGAUUGGUUGCUCAGCUUUGAGGAGAUUUCUGCUCACUUACUUUUUAAAGCAAGUGCUGGGGAAAUACUAUAGUGUGUCAUCAGGCUGGGACAAGGUCUUCUAUUUAUUCCUGUUCCUUAAUGUCCACAUGGAGGACACUGUGGCUCCACUAGGAGGCCAUGAUGCUUGUGAGAGGCAUGUGUACGUGUGUGUGUGUGUGUGUGUGUGUGUGUGUGUGUGUGUGUGUGUGUGUGUGUGUUGGGCACUAGCUCCACAUCUUAGUGGGCAGGCUCCCAGACCCACCUCUGGUUCAGCUGUGGCUCUUCAAGUCCCUGCCUACUUGUUCCUCCUCAGUCAUGCUUUUAUUUUGCCCUCUCUGAACUUUGCCAAUUAGCAACCCAGGUGGCUUCUUCCUUGGUUGAUUUCUUUGUUCCUCCAGAGUGCUUCUUUCCACAUAGGAGGUAAAUAUAUUGAGAUGUAAGACCCAAUGUGUCAAAAUGCCUGCGGUUUUUCUUGUCCCUCUUGACAAACAGACCUUUUGGGGAGAAGAUAGGCAUAAAGUUAGAAAACAUCAUUCCUUAGAUUCUAGAACCUGCUUCCUCUGGUUUGGAUAUAGUUUGUUUCUGAAGGCUCCUGUGCUUCAAGCGUGGCCCACAGCAUUGUGGUGUUGAACUGGUAGAAUCUUUAAGAGGGGGAAGGUUCUUAGAUCAUGGGGACCCUACUCUCACAAAGAGGUUAAUGUCAUCAUUAUGGAAUGGAAGGGUUGGGUCUGACAGGAAUGUUCAGUUUCAAAAUGAGGUGGUUGUCAUUAAAGAGUGACCCUGGCCCCUGCCCUGCCUCCUGUCUCUCCUGUGACUUCUCACAUGUGUCCUACUGCAUGAUGCCACCAAGAGACCCUCAUAUGAGCAUGUUGAUGUGAUGCUCUUGGAUUUCCAGAAUGGAAGAAGAAAUGCCAGAUGUAGAAAUUGAUAUUGAUGAUCUUCUUGAUGCUGACAGUGAGGAGGAAAGAGCUUCAAAAUUACAGGAAGCUCUUGUAGACUGCUAUAAACCAACAGAGGAAUUUAUCAGAGAGC